rnacentral:rRNA from 1 species
GGCGAACGGGUGAGUAACACGUGAGUAACCUGCCCCAGACUCUGGGAUAACCCCGGGAAACCGGAGCUAAUACCGGAUAUGACACCAGGUCGCAUGGCCAUGGUGUGGAAAGUUUUUCGGUCUGGGAUGGACUCGCGGCCUAUCAGCUUGUUGGUGAGGUAGUGGCUCACCAAGGCGACGACGGGUAGCCGGCCUGAGAGGGCGACCGGCCACACUGGGACUGAGACACGGCCCAGACUCCUACGGGAGGCAGCAGUGGGGAAUAUUGCACAAUGGGCGGAAGCCUGAUGCAGCGACGCCGCGUGAGGGAUGACGGCCUUCGGGUUGUAAACCUCUUUCAGCAGGGAAGAAGCGCAAGUGACGGUACCUGCAGAAGAAGCACCGGCUAACUACGUGCCAGCAGCCGCGGUAAUACGUAGGGUG